rnacentral:rRNA from 1 species
GACGUGAGGGCAGCGAGCCGUUUGUCCGGGAUUUAUUAGGGCGUAAAGAGCUCGGUUGGGCGGCUUGUCGCGGUCGAACUGUGAAAGUCCCGCCGGCUCAACUGCGGGUCUGCAGCCGAUACGGGCAGGCUAGAGUUCGGUAGGGGAGACUGGAAUUCCUGGUGUAGCGGUGAAAUGCGCAGAUAUCAGGAGGAACACCGGUGGCGAAGGCGGUUCUCUGGGCAUGAUCCUGACGCUGGAGGAAGGCGAAAGUGUCGGGGAGCGAACAGG